UCACGAAUAUAAAAUACGCUAUUAAAGAACAAAUAGAAAAUUGCACUUGGAUAGACGAGUCUUCAACACAUGCAUGUCUUGAGAAACUUACAUGAGGCAGGACAAUAUCAAACCCGAGUAGUAUAGCGACAAAGCUAUUGACAAAUAUUAUGAAGAUAUGAAUGUCAGUACAACAUAUGCCGGCAGUUUAAUAAGUGGAUUUAAAUUCGAAAGAAAGAGAAUGUUUAACUUGUUAAGAACUCCCGACGACAAAACCUUUUUGGGAUUAGUUAUAAACUCGAUAGUGUCGCACAAUUACUACAUUCNAUUUCGCAAUGCAUUUGGU